CCCUAUGGGGUGCGCUUUCCGGACAGCGAGAAACCGUUCGAUACAUUCGAACUGCCGGCGGACGGGGAACCGGAGCGCUACAAAGACCUUUUCAAGAAGGGAGUCAUAUUCAGGAAGGGGAAGCGGCGAACCGGCAUUAUCGAGAGCAGGAACCGGGCGCAGGAGGAACUGAUUGUGGCGGUCGCCAGGUCGGGUCUUCGGGGUUUUGUUCGAUUUCCACAGGAAGAAGACGAGUGUGAGCGGGUUUUGGGCCUGUUUUCGGCUUUUAUGGAAGAGCGGCGGAAGGUGGUGAGGGAGAUGAUCGAGAGCCGAACGGCGGACGGGGAGAUGCAGGAGAAGAUAUACGGGGCGGUGAUGCAGAUGAUUGCGAGCGUGGGGUAGGCGAUGGCGGGAGGGC
rnacentral:rRNA from 1 species